rnacentral:rRNA from 1 species
UGGGGAAUAUUGGACAAUGGGCGCAAGCCUGAUGCAGCCAUGCCGCGUGUAUGAAGAAGGCCUUCGGGUUGUAAAGUACUUUCAGCGAGGAGGAAGGCAUUAAGGUUAAUAACCUUGGUGAUUGACGUUACUCGCAGAAGAAGCACCGGCUAACUCCGUGCCAGCAGCCGCGGUAAUACGGAGGGUGCAAGCGUUAAUCGGAAUUACUGGGCGUAAAGCGCACGCAGGCGGUCUGUCAAGUCGGAUGUGAAAUCCCCGGGCUCAACCUGGGAACUGCAUUCGAAACUGGCAGGCUAGAGUCUUGUAGAGGGGGGUAGAAUUCCAGGUGUAGCGGUGAAAUGCGUAGAGAUCUGGAGGAAUACCGGUGGCGAAGGCGGCCCCCUGGACAAAGACUGACGCUCAGGUGCGAAAGCGUGGGGAGCAAACA